AUUGAACGCUGGCGGCAGGCCUAACACAUGCAAGUCGGGCGAGCGGAGGAAGGGUGAGUAAUGUAUGGGGAUCUGCCUGAUGGCGGGGGAUAACUACUGGAAACGGUAGCUAAUACAGCAUACAAUCAGAUGAACCCAUAGGGGAUUAGCUAGUAGGUAAGGUAACGGCUUACCUAGGCGACGAUCCCUAGCUGGUCUAAGAGGAUGAUCAGCCACACUGGUACUGAUACACGGCCCAGACUCCUACGUGAGGCAGCAGUGGGGAAUAUUGCACAAUGGGCGCAAGCCUGAUGCAGCCAUGCCGCGUGUAUGAAGAAGGCCUUCGGGUUGUAAAGUACUUUCAGUCGGGAGGCGUUACCGACAGAAGAAGCACCGGCUAACUCCGUGCCAGCCGCCGCGGUAAUAC
rnacentral:rRNA from 1 species